rnacentral:rRNA from 1 species
AACGAACGCUGGCGGCAUGCCUAACACAUGCAAGUCGAACGAGACCUUCGGGUCUAGUGGCGCACGGGUGCGUAACGCGUGGGAACCUGCCCUUAGGUUCGGAAUAACUCCCCGAAAGGGGUGCUAAUACCGGAUAAUGUCUUCAGACCAAAGAUUUAUCGCCUUUGGAUGGGCCCGCGUUGGAUUAGCUAGUUGGUAGGGUAAAAGCCUACCAAGGCGACGAUCCAUAGCUGGUCUGAGAGGAUGAUCAGCCACACUGGGACUGAGACACGGCCCAGACUCCUACGGGAGGCAGCAGUGGGGAAUAUUGGACGAUGGGCGAAAGCCUGAUCCAGCAAUGCCGCGUGAGUGAUGAAGGCCUUAGGGUUGUAAAGCUCUUUUACCCGGGAUGAUAAUGACAGUAACGGGAGAAUAAGCUCCGGCUAACUCCGUG